UACGUAGGUGGCAAGCGUUGUCCGGAUUUAUUGGGUUUAAAGGGUGCGUAGGCGGCUUUGUAAGUCAGUGGUGAAAUAUGGCAGUUCAACUGUCAGGGUGCCAUUGAUACUGCAGAGCUUGAGUACAGAUGAGGUAGGCGGAAUUGACGGUGUAGCGGUGAAAUGCUUAGAUAUCGUCAAGAACACCGAUAGCGAAGGCAGCUUACUGGGCUGUAACUGACGCUGAGGCACGAAAGUGUGGGGAUCAAACAGG
rnacentral:rRNA from 1 species